rnacentral:ncRNA from 1 species
ACUUUUAUGAAUUUUUCUACUCCUCUUUUUUGAGUAAAAAUAGACAACAAAAACAUUUAUUCUGUGGUCAGCUACCACAUCCAAGAAAGACAGCAAGAGUGCAAAUUACCCACUCCUGACCAGGGGAGGUAGUGAUGGAAAAUAACAAUAUAAGACUCUUUCAAGGCCCUGUAGUUAGAUUGAAUCCUUUAAAUCCUUUAUCAAAGAUACAUUGGAGGUCAAGUCUGGUGCCACCAGCUGUGUUAAUUCCAGCUCCCAA